GGUCCUUUUUGGGCCCUUCGAUAAAAUUGGAACGAUACAGAGAAGAUUAAGAUGCACCCAGUGCGGACCACAUUGAGAGACAUGAAAGCAUAGGUAGUGCC
rnacentral:snRNA from 1 species